rnacentral:lncRNA from 1 species
CCCUGAUUAAUUCUAGCACAAUAAACUAAGUGAAAUCAAUAAAAUAUCGGCUCAUCAGUCUCCAAAAAUCUUUAUCCCACUUUAAACACCCUGAACCUUCAGUUUUUAUCAUUAAUUCAAAAUCUAAAUUACAACGUAUCAAUUCCUAACACUUACAAUAUGAAAGUUUAGCUCAAAUAGUAAUAAUCCAUAACAGAGUAGCUAUUAUUAGCUACUGUAUUGUGCUGGUACAAUAAGUAUAAAAGAUGUAACUAGUUCAAUUCACAUAGACAUUCAUACUCUGCUUUAUUUUGAUUUCCCUAUUCCUAUCUAAUGUAACUUUAACCUCAAAUACUCAUUAAUCUACUUCAAGAUUAACUAAGUGAACCCAAUUAUAACUUGACAGCAACAUGUUCUAAUAUUAUAAAAUCAUUUACUUAAAUUAAUAGAUAUGACAGAUAGUGUAAAAUUUAGAACUUAACCAAAAAUCAAGGUUGAUAUAUAUAACUUCAAAACAACAACAAACAUCAAGCUUACAAAUCAAAAACUUAUAUUAGAACCAAAGUUCUUUAUUCAAGGAGAUCCUUUCAGUUAUACCUUUUUUAAAUUGUCCCUUAACAACCAAAUGCCAAAAUUAAACAAUGACUAAGGUUUUGAAUACCUCUUUGGAGCUUAGCAGCAAUGCGUUGGAUAUUUUGAACGUGACUUAAGAAAAACGACGCCUUCUUAAGAUGGGAACUGAAAAUCCCGAUGUGGUUGUGUCUCAACAUGGCUCUGGCCAAUUUAAAUCUAUCAAUGAAGCUCUUCAGUCCGUUCCUACUAAAAAUGAUAAACUUUUUUGUGAUUUACGUCAAAGAAGAUGGACAUUAUAUAAGAACUCCAAUAAAACUGAACCAGAUUUAACAGAGACAUAACAAUUUCGUCAUAUCUCCAACAUUUAAUGAUGCAUACCCCCUUCAGCUGUUGCCUAUGCAAUAUGUCUAUCCUGAUUAAUUAUUGCACGCAAUUGCUAUGUUAUCACUUCAUAUAACUAAUCAAAAAUAAAAUGAUAAUAUACGCCACCUUUUUCAUCAAAAAACAUAAUGAACAAAGAAUGCAGAGAUACUGACCCUUCUCAACAUUGUCCUCAUCUAGAUCACGGUCCUCUCCCCUUGGACCUUCUUCAUCAACAUCACAAGCUCUUUUAUUAAGUCCAAGUCUACUCUUCCUUUGGAUUCCUUGUCUUCAUCCUCUUCUCCCUUAUCAGAAACAUGAUACCCAUAUGUAGUUUUCUUUUUAUUCUUCAUCUUCUCUUCUGCUUCCUCCAAUGUCAAUUGCUUAUAUUGAGAAAUGGGAUGCUUUAAAUAACUCCAUGUAACUAAAUACCAUGUAAGGAAGGAAAUAACUACAAAGUAAUGGUAAAUUUCAAUACCCACAAAGUACCAGUAAUGGCAACCGUGCAGUCCUUCCUUCUGCAGAGCCCACUCGUAAGGGAGAACAAAAUGUUUUCUUUGCAAAACAUUUCCGCCAAACCUCUGUACCUCUCACGUCUCGCACUUCACCCAUCUCUCACGAUUCUAGGGUUUGGUCCGAGAAAGAGGAAAAAAAAUUGAAGAAGAAGAACAACUACGUCAAAGGGCUUUUUGAUUUUAAAGAGAAAAAUAUAAAAAAACAAUUGAAGAAGAUGAAGAAGAUGAAGAAUGAGGUUGGGAGAGUUUCACUCCACAGGAAAUCGAAGAACGCAAAAGAGAACAGUUGAGGUGAAGAGGAGGAUGCGUGAAUCAGAAAAAAGCGAAAAGAAAUUAAGAAACGAGAUGGCGCCGAAGAGGCAACGAUUGUCGGCGACCUCGUCGGCUAGACUCACCUCGUUGAGAAAGCAUGGCAGCAAAGAUGAAGCAGGUUCAGGUUCUUGGAACGAUGAACUGGUUUUAGGGUUUGGCGUUUUGAUGGGCAAAAGUUCUUUUUAGGUUUUUAUUUAGGGGGAGUUUAAAAUCAUGGAGGGAAACGAAAAGCAUUGAAGAAAAGAAAAAGAUUAAGAAAAAUUAUAAUUUAUGUAAAAUAUAAACCUCUUCUAAAAGGAAUUUAAACCCCCUCUAUUGUUAGCACUUGAAC